GCCGCACAGGUGCUGCAUGGCUGUCGUCAGCUCGUGUCGUGAGAUGUUGGGUUAAGUCCCGCAACGAGCGCAACNNNCGCCUUUAGUUGCCAGCACGUUUGGGUGGGCACUCUAAAGGAACUGCCGGUGACAAGCCGGAGGAAGGUGGGGAUGACGUCAAGUCCUCAUGGCCCUUAUGUCCUGGGCUACACACGUGCUACAAUGGCGGUGACAGUGGGAAGCCAGGCAGCGAUGCCGUGCUGAUCUCUAAAAGCCGUCUCAGUUCAGAUUGCACUCUGCAACUCGAGUGCAUGAAGGUGGAAUCGCUAGUAAUCGCGGAUCAGCAUGCCGCGGUGAAUACGUUCCUGGGCCUUGUACACACCGCCCGUCACACCAUGGGAGUUGGUUCGACCUUAAGCUGGUGCGCGAACCCGUAAGGGACGCAGCCAACCACGGUCGGGUUAGCGACUGGGGUGAAGUC
rnacentral:rRNA from 1 species